rnacentral:rRNA from 1 species
CCUACAGGAGGCAGCCGUGAGGAAUAUUGGUCAAUGGGCGGGAGCCUGAACCAGCCAAGUCGCGUGAGGGAAGACGGUCCUAUGGAUUGUAAACCUCUUUAGGCGGGGAGCAAUGCCGGGCACGUGUGCCCGGAGGGAGAGUACCCGCAGAAUAAGCAUCGGCUAACUCCGUGCCAGCAGCCGCGGUAAUACGGAGGAUGCGAGCGUUAUCCGGAGUUAUUGGGUUUAAAGGGUGCGUAGGCGGAUUUUUAAGUCAGCGGUAAAAUGUCCGGGCUCAACCCGGGCCGGCCGUUGAAACUGGGGAUCUUGAGUGGGCGAGAAGUAUGCGGAAUGCGUGGUGUAGCGGUGAAAUGCAUAGAUAUCACGCAGAACUCCGAUUGCGAAGGCAGCAUACCGGCGCCCGACUGACGCUGAGGCACGAAAGCGUGGGGAUCGAACAGGAUUAGAUACCCCUGUAGUC